rnacentral:lncRNA from 1 species
GGCCAUGUGCUGGCGGUCACUGCUCCCAGGGUAACGGUCAGUUGGGAUCACGCUUCCCCAUCAGCUGGAGCCCGCUAGGGUUUUAGGAGGGUGCUUUUCAUUUUGUUUCUUUUCUGAUAGGGAGAGAGACCCGUCCCAUUGGCAUGCACAUUCCAGCCAGCCCUGGUAGUGGGCAGAGGUCCCUUCUAGGCACGCACACAGUGUCGUCCAAGCCCAACGUUCUGCAGCCUGGCAGGAGCUUCACCGGCCCGGGAGACCAAGCACCCUUGUGCCUCUUCCCACCCGGGGCUUCUCAGGGCCCUGGUCUGAGCCUUCCGACAGUGUCUGCUCACGGUCGAGCAGAACUCUUCCACCCGUGAGUGUGUUCUGUGUCUGGUCUGCCCGGUAUGACUGCCGCAUGAAGCUAAUGGAGUACCUGGCAUGCGGCAAAUGCAGCUGGACUUUUUUUCUUUCUUCUUCUUCCUCUUUCUUUCGUUUUAGUACUGGGUAUUGAAUACAGGGCCUCACACAUGUAAGAAGAGAAGCACUCUACCACUGAACUACAGCCCCAGCCUUUUUUGUUUUGUUUUGGUUUGUUUUGUUUUUUUUUUUGUUUGUUUGUUUUUUGAGACAGGGCCUCACUAUGUAGUUGAGACUGACCUGGAACUCACUAUGUAGCCCAGGCUGGUCUCGAACUCACAGUGAUCCUCCUGCCUCAGCCUCUGAGUGCUGGGAUUACAUGCGCCACCACGCCCAUCUUCCCAGCCUCUUUUUAUGUUUCAUUUUGAGACAGGAUCUUGCUAAAUUUUCCAGGCAGAGCUCAAACUUGGAUUCCUCCUGCCUCAGCCUCCUGAGAACUGGGAUUACAGGCAUGUGCCAC